rnacentral:rRNA from 1 species
GAACCAGCGGUGGAGCAUGUGGUUUAUUCGAUGCACGCGAAGACCUUACCAUAGUCUUGACAUCCUCUGACUACCCUAGAGAUAGGGCUUCUCCUUCGGGAGCACAGUGACAGGUGGUGCAUGGUUGUCGUCAGCUCGUGUCGUGAAAUGUUGGGUUAAGUCCCGCAACGAGCGCAACCCUUGAUCUUAGUUGCCAUCAUUUAGUUGGGCACUCUAAGGUGACUGGCGGUGACAAACCGGAAGGAGGUGGGGAUGACGUCAAAUCAUCAUGGCCCUUAUGACCUGGGCUACACACGUGCUACAAUGGACGGUACAAAGAGCUGCAAGACCGCGAGGUGGAGCUAAUCUCAUAAAACCGUUCUCAGUUCGGAUUGUAAGCUGCAACUCGCCUACAUGAAGCUGGAAUCGCUAGUAAUCGCGGAUCAGCAUGCCGCGGUGAAUACGUUCCCGGGCUCAAGUACACACCGCCCCGUA